UUAACUCUGGAACUGCCAUCAAAACUUUUCAGCUAGAGUAUGAUAGAGGAAAGCAGAAUUUCUAGUGUAGAGGUGAAAUUCGUAGAUAUUAGAAAGAAUACCAAUUGCGAAGGCAGCUUUCUGGAUCAUUACUGACACUGAGGAACGAAAGCAUGGGUAGCGAAGAGGAUUAGAUACCCUCGUAGUCCAUGCCGUAAACGAUGUGUGUUAGACGUUGGAAAUUUAUUUUCAGUGUCGCAGGGAAACCGAUAAACACACCGCCUGGGGAGUACGACCGCAAGGUUAAAACUCAAAUGAAUUGACGGGGACCCGCACAAGUAGUGGAGCAUGUGGUUUAAUUCGAAGAUACGCGCAGAACCUUACCAACACUUGACAUGUUCGUCGCGACUCUAAGAGAUUAGAGUUUUCGGUUCGGCCGGACGAAACACAGGUGCUGCAUGGCUGUCGUCAGCUCGUGUCGUGAGAUGUUGGGUUAAGUCCCGCAACGAGCGCAACCCUCACUUUUAGUUGCCAUCAUUAAGUUGGGCACUCUGAAAGAACUGCCAGUGAUAAGCUGGAGGAAGGUGGGGAUGACGUCAAGUCCUCAUGGCCCUUACGUGUUGGGCUACACACGUGCUACAAUGGCAUCUACAACAGGAAGCAAAACGGCAACGUUAAGCAAAUCCCGAAAAGAUGCCUCAGUUCGGAUUGCACUCUGCAACUCGAGUGCAUGAAGCUGGAAUUACUAGUAAUCGUGGAUCAGCGUGCCACGGUGAAUGCGUUCCCGGGUCUUGUACACACCGCCCGUCACACCAUGGGAGUUGGUUCUACCUUAAGGCAAGGCUUUAAACCCUUGACCACGGUAUAGUCAGCGACUGGGGUGAAGUCGUAACAAGGUAGCC
rnacentral:rRNA from 1 species